GAUGAAGAACGUAGCGAAAUGCGAUAAGUAAUGCGAAUUGCAGAAUUUCCGUGAGUCAUCGAAUCUUUGAACGCACAUUGCGCCCAUUGGUAUUCCGAUGGGCAUGCCUGUUCGAGCGUCAUUAUCUUCCCUCAAACCUCGCGUUUGGUGUUGGGCCGUGCUGGUUCCUGCGUGACCAACUGGCCUCAAAGACAAUGACGGCGUCCGUGGGACCCUCGAUGCAACGAGCUUCUCAGGAGCACGCGUCGAGUUUCAAGGACCUUCCGGGCCGGUCUCUCCUCAUGUCAUUACAAGGUUGACCUCGGAUCAGGUAGGGAUACCCGCUGAACUUAAGCAUAUCAAUAAGCGGAGGA
rnacentral:misc_RNA from 1 species